UACGUAGGGCGCAAGCGUUAUCCGGAAUUAUUGGGCGUAAAGAGCUCGUAGGCGGUUUGUCGCGUCUGCCGUGAAAGUCCGGGGCUCAACUCCGGAUCUGCGGUGGGUACGGGCAGACUAGAGUGAUGUAGGGGAGACUGGAAUUCCUGGUGUAGCGGUGAAAUGCGUAGAUAUCAAGAGGAACACCAGUGGCGAAGGCGAGUCCCUGGACAACUUCUGACGCUGAGGCACGAAAGCUAGGGGAGCAAACAGG
rnacentral:rRNA from 1 species